UUCAGAGGGGGACAACAGUUGGAAACGACUGCUAAUACCGCAUACGAUCUAAUCUUGGCAUCGAGGAUAGAUGAAAGGUGGCCUCUACAUGUAAGCUAUCACUGAAGGAGGGGAUUGCGUCUGAUUAGCUAGUUGGAGGAGUAACGGCCCACCAAGGCGAUGAUCAGUAGCCGGUCUGAGAGGAUGAACGGCCACAUUGGGACUGAGACACGGCCCAGACUCCUACGGGAGGCAGCAUG
rnacentral:rRNA from 1 species